GUGUGAUAAGGGGAUCCUAAGUGCUCAUGCAAUGCAUGGGCUUUUGCCAAGAGUAAAUAUCUUGGAGAAUAAGUGGUGGGUAAGACUGGUGCCAGCCGCCGCGGUAACACCAGCGCCACAAGUGGCAACCACGUUUAUUGGGCCUAAAGCGUCCGUAGCCUGUUAGGCAAAUCUCUUGUGAAAUCGUCAAGCUCAACUUGACGGCGUGCUUGAGACACUACCUGACUUGAGACCGGGAGGAGUCAGAGGUAUUCCAGGGGGAGCGGUAAAAUGUGAUAAUCCCUGGAGGAUCACCUAUGGCGAAGGCAUCUGACCAGAACGGAUCUGACGGUGAGGGACGAAGGCUAGGGGAGCGAUCCGGAUUAGAUACCCGAGUAGUCCUAGCAGUAAACGCUGCGAGCAAGGUGUUGCGCAUCUCAUGAGGAUGUGCAGUGUCGAAGAGAAGUCGUUAAGCUCGCCGCCUGGGAAGUACGGUC
rnacentral:rRNA from 1 species